rnacentral:lncRNA from 10 species
CGGCCGCCCCUACUGGAAAGUGAGGAGCUCCUCUGCCCGGCCAGCCGCCCAGUCCGGGAGGGAGGCGGGCGGGGGUCGGCCAGCCGCCCCGUCCGGGAGGGAGGUGGAGGGGGUCAGCCCCCCUUCCGGCCGGCCGCCCCGUCCGGGAGGUGAGGGGCGCCUCUGCCCGGCCGCCCCUACUGGGAAGUGAGGACCCCUCUGCCCGGCCAGCCGCCCCGUCCGGGAGGGAGGUAGGGGGGACAGCCCCCCGCCCGGCCAGCCGCCCUAUCCAGGAGGUGAGGGGCGCCUCUGCCCGGCCGCCCCUACUGGGAAGUGAGGAGCCGCUCUGCCUGGCCAGCCGCCCCGUCCGGGAGGGUGGUGGGGGGUCAGCCCCCGCCCGGCCAGCCGCCCCAUCCGGGAGCUGGAUCUACCAUGAAAGACUUCAGAGUCCAGGAAGAGAGACUGACUGGGCAACAUGUUAUUCAGUUACAAAAAGACUUGGACUAUGACUCAAAAAUGAUCAAAUAAUAGUUCAUGCAUC